rnacentral:rRNA from 1 species
GAUGAACGCUAGCGGGAGGCCUAACACAUGCAAGCCGAGCGGUCGAGUCUCUUCGGUGCCUUGAGAGCGGCGCCCGGGGGCGGAACACGAGCGCAACCUUCCUCUAUCUGUGGGACAGCCUUACGAUGGGAAGACCAAUACUACAAACGAUACUGGAUGUCAUCCUCUGGGAUUGAAAAUUACGGACGAUUGAGCUGGGCACGCGCUAGAUUAGCUAGUUGGUGUUGUAACGGCUCACCAAGCCAGCGUACUUUAGGUGACCUGAGGGGGUGAUCCCCCACACUGGUACUGCGACACGGACCAGUCUGCUACGCGAGGCAGCAGUGUGGACUAUUGGACACUGGGUGAGAGCCUGAUCCAGCCAUCCCGCGUGAAGGACGACGGCCCUAUGGGUUGUAAGCUUCUUUUGUAUAGGGAUAAACCUAGAUACGUGUAUCUAGCUGAAGGUACUAUACGAAUAAGCACCGGCUAACUCCGUG